rnacentral:tRNA from 1 species
AGCCCCGUGGUGUAGAGGUCAAUCAUGUGAGGUUCUGGACCUGGCAACGGCGGUUCGAAUCCGCCCGGGGCUA